rnacentral:misc_RNA from 1 species
UCCGACUUGACGUCGGCAGUCUCGCUAGAGUGCCCAACUUAAUGCUGGCAACUAACGACAGAGGUUGCGCUCGUUGCGGGACUUAACCCAACAUCUCACGACACGAGCUGACGACAGCCAUGCAGCACCUUCUCACUCGCUCCCCAGAAGGGCACCCCUACAUCUCUGUAAGGUUCGAGCGGAUUUAACCCAGGUAAGGUUCUGCGCGUUGCGUCGAAUUGAACCACAUACUCCACCGCUUGUGCGGGCCCCCGUCAAUUCUUUUGAGUUUUAGCCUUGCGGCCGUACUCCCCAGGCGGAACACUUAACGCGUUGGCUUCGGCACAGGGGGAUUCGACUCCCCCCACACCUAGUGUUCAUCGUUUACGGCAUGGACUAC